UACGUAGGGUCCGAGCGUUUGUCCGGAAUUAUUGGGCGUAAAGAGCUCGUAGGCGGUCUGUCGCGUCGGCUGUGAAAACUCGGGGCUCAACUCCGAGCUUGCGGUCGAUACGGGCAUCACUGGAGUUCGGCAGGGGAGACUGGAAUUCCUGGUGUAGCGGUGAAAUGCGCAGAUAUCAGGAGGAACACCGGUGGCGAAGGCGGGUCUCUGGGCCGAUACUGACGCUGAGGAGCGAAAGCGUGGGGAGCAAACAGG
rnacentral:rRNA from 1 species